rnacentral:rRNA from 1 species
UACAGAGGUCUCAACCGUUGUUCGGAUUCAUUGGGCGUAAAGGGUGCGUAGGCGGUCGGGUAAGUCGGAUGUGAAAUCCCUCGGCUCAACCGGGGAACUGCGUCCGAUACUGGCGAGGCUUGAAUCCGGGAGAGGGAUGUGGAAUUCCAGGUGUAGCGGUGAAAUGCGCAGAUAUCAGGAGGAACACCAAUGGCGAAGGCAGCACUCUGGGGCGUGACUGACGCUGGAGACGCGAAAGCGUGGGGAGCAAACAGG